GUCAUUUUUAUAAAUUUCCUGUUAACAAAACUUUGAAUUUUUCGAAAAACUAAGGAAUUUCUUAUCCCAGGCAUAGAUUACCUUAGCCGUAUUUGGCACAACUUUUUGGAAUUUUGGAUCCUCAAUGCUCUUCAACUUUGUACAUGUUUGGCUUUAUAAAUAUUUUGAUAUGAGCGUCACUGAUGAGUCUUGUGUAGACGAAA
rnacentral:lncRNA from 1 species